GAAACGACUGCUAAGACUGGAUAGGAAAUAAAAAGGCAUCUUUUUAUUUUUAAAAGACCUUCUUCGGAGGGUAUGCUUAAAGAGGGGCUUGCGUCACAUUAGUUAGUUGGUAGGGUAAUGGCCUACCAAGACGAUGAUGUGUAGCUGGACUGAGAGGUUGAACAGCCACAUUGGGACUGAGACACGGCCCAAACUCCUACGGGAGGCAGCAGUAGGGAAUUUUCGGCAAUGGAGGAAACUCUGACCGAGCAACGCCGCGUGAACGACGAAGUACUUCGGUAUGUAAAGUUCUUUUAUUGAAGAAGAAACAAUAGUGGAAAAACUAUCUUGACGUUAUUCAAUGAAUAAGCCCCGGCUAACUAUGUGCCAGCAGCCGCGGUAAUACAUAGGGGGCGAGCGUUAUCCGGAAUUAUUGGGCGUAAAGGGUGCGUAGGCGGUUUAAUAAGUCUCUAGUUUAAUUUCAACGCUUAACGUUGUCCUGCUAGAGAAACUGUUUGACUAGAGUGAGAUAGAGGUAAGCGGAAUUCCAUGUGUAGCGGUAAAAUGUGUAAAUAUAUGGAGGAACACCAGAGGCGUAGGCGGCUUACUGGGUCUUUACUGACGCUGAUGCACGAAAGCGUGGGGAGCAAACAGGAUUAGAUACCCUGGUAGUCCACGCCGUAAACUAUGAGUACUAAGUGUCGGGGUUAAACUCGGUACUGAAGUUAACACAUUAAGUACUCCGCCUGAGUAGUACGUACGCAAGUAUGAAACUUAAAGGAAUUGACGGGAUCCCGCACAAGCGGUGGAUCAUGUUGUUUAAUUCGAAGAUACACGAAAAACCUUACCAGGUCUUGACAUACUCUGCAAAACUAUAGAAAUAUAGUGGAGGUUAUCAGGGAUACAGGUGAUGCAUGGUUGUCGUCAGCUCGUGUCGUGAGAUGUUAGGUUAAGUUCUAAAACGAGCGCAACCCCUGUCGUUAAUUGCCAGCACGUUAUGGUGGGGACUUUAGCGAGACUGCCAAUGAAAAAUUGGAGGAAGGUGGGGAUUACGUCAAAUCAUCGUGCCCCUUAUGAUCUGGGCUACAAACGUGAUACAAUGGCUAUUACAAAGAGUAGCUUAAACGCGAGUUUUUGGCAAAUCUCAAAAAAAUAGUCCUAGUUCGGAUUGAAGUCUGCAACUCGACUUCAUGAAGUUGGAAUCGCUAGUAAUCGCGAAUCAGCAUGUCGCGGUGAAUACGUUGACGGGGUUUGUACACACCGCCCGUCA
rnacentral:rRNA from 1 species